rnacentral:rRNA from 1 species
UAGGGAAUCUUCGGCAAUGGACGAAAGUCUGACCGAGCAACGCCGCGUGAGUGAAGAAGGUUUUCGGAUCGUAAAACUCUGUUGUUAGAGAAGAACAAGGACGUUAGUAACUGAACGUCCCCUGACGGUAUCUAACCAGAAAGCCACGGCUAACUACGUGCCAGCAGCCGCGGUAAUACGUAGGUGGCAAGCGUUGUCCGGAUUUAUUGGGCGUAAAGCGAGCGCAGGCGGUUUCUUAAGUCUGAUGUGAAAGCCCCCGGCUCAACCGGGGAGGGUCAUUGGAAACUGGGAGACUUGAGUGCAGAAGAGGAGAAUGGAAUUCCAUGUGUAGCGGUGAAAUGCGUAUAUAUAUGGAGGAACACCAGUUGCGAAGGCGGCUCUCUGGUCUGUAACUGACGCUGAGGCUCGAAAGCGUGGGGAGCAAACAGG